AUGUAUAUCUUUCCUCAGACAGUAAAUAUUACUGUUAAAGAGCUUACCCAGAAACCAACAAUAAACGUCCCACUGCUCACAGCGGGAGAGAAGGCCGAGAUAUCAUGUAAAGUUCCAGGGGACUGCUUACUACCCUUAGCAGAUAUUGUGUGGACAGGCAUUAGGCCUAAUAAUACUAGACUUGGAGCUCGUGGAGUGCCUGGCAGGAGUGAGCACUUUUCUAUAAUGACUUUUUAUCCUAAGCCUGAACAUCACAAUACUGAGCUCACCUGCACAGUGACACUUCAAGGACGUAUUCGGACUGAAAGUACUGUCAUCCUCAAAGUAAGACAUUCCCCAGUAAUCCUGAACAGCUCUCGUGUUUUGUUGUGGGGUGAUGAACUGAGAUGCAUGUGUGUCAGCAGUGCUGUGCCGUCACCCCCAGAUAUCCUGGCCAGUAUUGAAAGAUAG
rnacentral:lncRNA from 1 species